UGAGGGGGGUCCAGCAACUCCCAUUCUUCCUGGGAGAAAUAUAUGGCCACUUCUUCAAAUGUCAACAAGCUCUAAAAAAGAAUGUGCUUCAGCUCAGUACUUGUACUAUAAAAUAGUCCUCCACCCAGCCUAUGGAAUGGCAGGCCAGGCACGGAAGGGAUAACAGUACAUGAUCUGUCUUAAGUCAGAAAGCAGCAAAGGAGGCAAGUAAUCAGCAAACCACCUGGGGAGCACCAUUCCUCAGGGAGAACACAUCAGGGCUAACAUGCCUUGAGCAUCUGCUGGGCAGUGUGGGAUACAAGCAGCAGAGAAAGUUCAGCUCACCUGGGACUCAGAUCCGCAGAGCUGAGUACCCACAAAAUGCUUACCGUGCUCUGGAUGAACAAAUUACUAUGAGAGUUCUGAGAGAAAGGAAAUUAUCAUGAAGCUCCUUACCCCUCUCACAUACAGGCUCAGUUUCUGUAUCAGUAUUUCUGCUCAGCUGUUCUCGUAGACCCUGGUCUACCUUCAUCCUAUUUCACCGUACAUAUCAGGACUCUUUCUUCUCACCCCAUUGCUUGUUUGGCCAGAUUCCCUCUGCAAGUGUUCCACCAGAGUCACAGCCUCCUCGACGCUCUGGAGAUGGUGCUUCCUUACAUGGGACUGCAUGUCCCUGGGUAAAACGGUCAGAAACUGCUCCAGCACCAGCAGUUCCAGGAUUUGUUCUUUUGAGUGAAUCUCUGGUCUCAGCCAACGACGGCAUAAUUCCUGGAGUUGGCCAACAGCCUCUCGGGGUCCAAUCGCUUCAUGAUAGUGGAAGUUCCGGAAGUGCUGACGAGAGCUCUCAGAACUGAUGCUGUCCAUCUGUGGGCUAUAUUUCUUACUUUGUAUGGACCUCCCCAUCACAGAUCCUUUGCUCUCCCACAGAGCCCUGAUCUGAGGGCUCAAAUACUCAGCCUCCUUCAGAUCUACCAUCACCAUUCUGCUCUACGAACAGCUGUGUUCUGUACUGGACACACCACCAACACAAGUUUUGAUAACUGAGACCCAAUGGAUCUUCUUCCUAAGGCACUGGAAGCAGAAAAAAGUACAUGUUAUUAUGAAAGUCACAUGAGCUUUUACUACCUGCUACUCAUUUCCACAGGAAAACUCCCGUCUGGCUUUCCCUUUAACAAAAAAAUAAAAAAUCAA